AUUGAACGCUGGCGGCAGGCUUAACACAUGCAAGUCGAACGGUAACAUAAAGGAGCUUGCUUCUUUGAUGACGAGUGGCGGACGGGUGAGUAAUGCUUGGGAAUCUAGCUUAUGGAGGGGGAUAACUACGGGAAACUGUAGCUAAUACCGCGUAGAAUCGGGAGAUGAAAGUGUGGGACCUUCGGGCCACAUGCCAUAGGAUGAGCCCAAGUGGGAUUAGGUAGUUGGUGAGGUAAAGGCUCACCAAGCCGACGAUCUCUAGCUGGUCUGAGAGGAUGACCAGCCACACUGGGACUGAGGCACGGCCCAGACUCCUACGGGAGGCAGCAGUGGGGAAUAUUGCGCAAUGGGGGCAACCCUGACGCAGCCAUGCCGCGUGAAUGAAGAAGGCCUUCGGGUUGUAAAGUUCUUUCGGUAGCGAGGAAGGCAUUUAGUUUAAUAGACUAGGUGAUUGACGUUAACUACAGAAGAAGCACCGGCUAACUCCGUU
rnacentral:rRNA from 1 species